GCGCCCGUAGCUCAGCAGGAUAGAGCAACAGCCUUCUAAGCUGUGGGUCCGUGGUUCGAAUCCACGCGGGCGUG
rnacentral:tRNA from 4 species